UCUAGGCUUAGGCCUCAAGAGAUCUUGAACAUUUUCACUUGCUCUCCUGGAACCCUGAUGCUGCCACGUGAACAAGCCCAGGCAACCUUACUGGAAGAAGAGAAGCAUCAACUCCAACACAUGAGUGAGGUUAUCCUAGACCAGCCAACCCCCAUCAACCACAAACAUGAGCAAGCCCUGUGGAGACCCACUGAGCCCAAUCCGGAUCAACCAAACCUCCCAGCCUGCUUUAAACUUGGAUGAAGAAACUGAGGCUCAAAGAGGCUUGGCCAAGACCACAGAGCCAACACUCAAUGUCAUUCCCUCUACCAUGCAGCGGGCUCCCCUCUGCCAUCUCCAGCCGCCUGAAGCAGGGCCCAGCAUGAAUGAGACAGCUGGCAGAGUGAGAGCUGUG
rnacentral:lncRNA from 1 species